GGGUUGUGAGGUUAAGCAACUAAGCGUACACGGUGAAUGCCACGGCAGUCAGGGCGAUGAAAGGCGUGCUAAUCUGCGAUAAGCGCGCCGGUAAGGUAUUAUGAACCGUUAUAACCGGCGAUACCCGAAUGGGGAAACCCAGUGUGACUCGUGCACUAUCAUUAACGAAUCCAUAGGUUAAUGAGGCGAACCGGGAACUGAAACAUCUAAGUACCCGGAAAGAUAACCGAGAUUCCCCAGUAGCGGCGAGCGAACGGGGAGGGAAACCCAGAGGAGCCUGAAUCAGCAUGUGUGUUAGUGGAAGCGUCUGGAAAGGCGCGCGAUACAGGUGACAGCCCCGUACACAAAAGCGCAUGUGCUGUGAAGCUCGAUGAGUAGGGCGGGACACGUGGUAUCCUGUCUGAAUAUGGGACCAUCCUCCAGGCUAAAUACUCCUGACUGACCGAUAGUGAACCAGUACCGGUAGGAAAGGCGAAAGAACCCCGGCGAGGGAGUGAAAAAGAACCUGGAAACCGUGUACGUACAAGCAGUGGGAGCACAGGUUUACCUGUGUGACACAUUGCACCUUUGUAUAAUGGGUCAGCGACUUAUAUUCUGUAGCAAGGUUAACCGGAAUACAAGAGCCGGAAACCAGGUGUAACCGGUAGGGUGCAGGGUAUAGACCCCGAAACCCAGUGAUCUAGCCAUGGGCAGGUUGAAGGUUAGGUAACACUAACUGGAGGACCGAACCGACUAAUGUUGAAAAAUUAGCGGAUGACCUGUAACGAGGGUGAGCCAAUCAAACCGGGAGAUAGCUGGUUCUCCCCGAAAGCUAUUUAGGUAGCGCCUCGUAGAUUCAUCCGGGGUAGAGAGCACUGUUUCGGCACAGGGGUAUCCCGGCGCAACCCGAUGCAAACUGCGAAUGCCGGAGAAUAUUUAUCACAGAGACACGGCAGGUGCCAGCGUCCCGUCGUGAGAAGAGGAAACAACCCAGACCACCAGCUGGGUCCCAAAGUCAUAGUUAAGUGGGAAACGAUGUGGGGAAGCCCAGACAGCGGGAUGUUGGCUUAGAAGCAGCCAUCAUUUAAAGCGUAAUGGCUUCACUGGUCAGUCGGCCUGCGCGGAAAGAUGUAACGAGGCUAAACCAUGCAGAGAAGCUGCGGCAGCGACGCUGAUGCGUUGUUGGGUAGGGAGCGUUCUGUAAGCCUGCGAAGGUGGCCUGUGAGGGUUGCUGGAGGUAUCCAGAAGUGCGAAUGCUGACAUAAGUAACGAUAAAGCGGGUGAAAAGCCCGCUCGCCGGAAGACCAAGGGUUCCUGUCAACGUUAAUCCCGGGGCAGGGUAGGUCGACCCUAAGGCGAGGCCGAAAGGCGUAGUCGAUGGGAAACGGGUUAAUAUUCCCCGUAUGGUGUUACUGCGAAAGGGGGACGGAAGAAGGCUAUGUUGGCCCGGGCGACGGUUGUCGGUUUUAGCGUGUAGGCUGGUUUUCGGGCAAGUCGAGGCUGAGGCGUGAUGACGAGGCACUACGGUGCUGGAAGCAAUGCCCUGCUUCGGAAAAGCCUCUAAGCAUCAGGUAACAUCAAAUCGUACCCCAAACCGGCACAGGUGGUCAGGUAAGCCACCAAGGCGCUUGAAACUCGGGUGAAGGAACUAGGCAAAAUGGUGCCGUAACUUCGGGAGAAAGGCACGCUGACACGUAGGUGGUAUUGAUUUACUCAUGGAAGCAAAGUCAGUCGAAAGAUACCAGCUGGCUGCAACUGUUUAUUAAAAAACACAGCACUGUGCAAACACGAAAGUGGACAUUAUACGGUGUGACGCCUGCCCGGUGCCGGAAGGUUAGUGAUGAGGCAGCGCAAGCGAAAGCUCUGAUCAAACUGACCAAGCGGCAGCCCGUAACUAUAACGGUCUAAGGUAGCGAAAUUCCUUGUCAGGUAGUUCCGACCUGCACGAAUGUAAUGAUGGCAGCUGUCUCACGAAGACUUUCAGUGAAAUUGAACUCGCUGUGAAGAUGCAGUGUACCCGCGGCAAGACGGAAAGACCCGUGAACCUUUACUAGCAACGACACUGAACGUGAGCUUGUGAUGUGUAGGAUAGGUGGGAGGCUUUGAAGUGUGGACGCCAGUCUGCAUGGAGCCGACAGCGAAAUACCACCCUUUAAUGUUUGAUGUUCUAACGUGGACCCGUUACCCGGGUUGCGGACGGUGUCUGGUGGGUAGUUUGACUGGGGCGGUCUCCUCCUAAAAGUAACGGAGCACGAAGGUUGGCUAAUCACAGUCCCCUAGGACAUCAGGAGGUUGGUGCAAUGGCAUAAGCCGAAGCCUGACUGCGAGCGUGACGGCGCGGCAGGUGCGAAAGCAGGUCAUAGUGAUCGGUGGUUCUGAAUGGAAGAGGCCAUCAUCAGCAGGUAAAAAGUCCGGGGAUAACAGGCUGAUACCGCCCAGAGUUCAUAUCGACGGCGGUGUUUGGCACCUCGAUGUCGGCUCAUCACAUCCACGGGGCUGAAGUAGGUCCCAAGGGUAUGGCUGUUCGCCCAUUUAAAGUGGUACGCGAGCUGGGUUUAGAACGUCGUGAGACAGUUCGGUCCCUAUCUGCCGUGGGCGCUGGAGAACUGAGGGGGGCUGCUCCUAGUACGAGGACCAGUGGACGCAUCACUGUUCAGAUUUGUCAUGCCAAUGGCACUGCCCGGUAGCUAAAUGCGGAAAGAGAUAAGUGCUGAAAGCAUCUAAGCACCGAAACUUGCCCCGGAUGAGUUCUCCCUGAGACUUGGAAGUCUACGAAGGAACGUUGAGAACGACGACGUUGAUAGGCCGGGUGUGUAAGCGCAGCGAUGCGUUGAGCUAACCGGUACUGAACCGUGAGGCUUAACCUUACAACGCCGAAGAUGUUUGG
rnacentral:rRNA from 1 species